UACGAAGGGGGCUAGCGUUGUUCGGAGUUACUGGGCGUAAAGGGCGCGUAGGCGGCUCAUGAAGGCUGUGGUGAAAGUCCGGGGCUCAACCUCGGAUCGGCCGUGGCGACUCGUGGGCUGGAGCACUGUAGAGGCGGGUGGAAUUCCGGGUGUAGCGGUGGAAUGCGUAGAGAUCCGGAAGAACACCAGUGGCGAAGGCGGCCCGCUGGGCAGUGGCUGACGCUGAGGCGCGACAGCGUGGGGAGCAAACAGG
rnacentral:rRNA from 1 species